AUCGGUCGGUCGCCGCGCUCUCCCGUCCCUCGAAGCGGCGGACGAUCCGGAUGGAACGACACGCCCAUCGGCGGCGCGCUGCUCGCAAGAGCGGCGCGCC
rnacentral:sRNA from 21 species